CUUUACCCGUCUCAAGAAGGCCAGAAAGGGCGUAGGGUGUUCCGGCACCCCGUGGUCCGGCCAGGCCGUGAACUGGAACUGCCGGACCUCCCGCUUCUCGCUGGAGCCGUUCUACGUGAGCAAAAGCCAGCAGCGCAAAGAGGCAGAGCUGACAGCCAGUCAAUGCUUCAGGACUGGCAGUUUCGGGGCUCGGCGCACACAUGCUCCACCAAGAUAAGUCUCAUCUGCAUGGACGCCACGUCUCGGAAAAUCACCGCCUCCCUCGACCCCCCCAACCCCCCUCCCCAAUAUCUCUCUUUGCCCAACCCCUCCUCCCUCUCCACUCCAGGCUUUCUUUCCUUCCAGGUAACUUUUAGCGGAUAGACAAAAAAAUAUUGUGAAAAAUUCACGUCUCUGCAUUAUGUUGACCCCCACCCCCCACCCAAUCCCACCCUUGCUCUCACUGUUUUUACUGUCCACAUAUAUUCAGUGACGGACAAAGGGAAAAGACACAAUUAAGCACGCUGUAAUUCACAACUGAAAAGAAGAAAAAAAAACAAACAUUUGUUUUGUUUUGUUUUGCUUAAUAGCACAAUGAAUAGAUGUUUAGUUCGGCGAGCCCAUGCAUUCAUGCCGGUCUGCCAGUCAGGAUUUGCAUUCAUUAUGUCAUUUGUUCUGUCUACUUACGAGCUGGAGGGAAAAAAAAACAACAAAAAAACAAUAUGUGACUGAUUGAAACUCCAUUACACAGUCGAUAGUAAGGAAUGGCCCGACGGGCUCGCCACUUAAAAACUGACGCAUUUUGUUUAGCUUAAAGACUACAAUCCAAACGGAGAGAAGAACUUUCCCGUCAUUAGGAAUGUGCUGAGGGAACUCCCUGGUACGCAUGUAUUUAUUCAUGAUUAUUUUGGUGAUUUUUCUGUCGGUAACAUGUUGCAACGGUGUGAGUUUCACGCGGCAACUCUAUCUGCAUAUGUCGCAUCUUAAGUUCCCACGCGUGAUUCCAAAAAAUAGUCGCGGCGCGGCGCCGGAGAGAAAUCCAACUUUACUGGCAUCUCUCAGGUUUUUGCAGGUGAUUGUUCAAUUGUAUUCGAGUGCCGAGCUCAGCGAGGCGCGGGCGAAAAUUGCCUAUUUCAAAAAGCCAUCUAUUUCCCCGCGAGCAACCCGCCCGCAUGAAAGCAAAUGACAUGUUGGUGUGAGGAGGGAGAAGGGGGGAGGAGAAAAAAACAGAAAAGAAGUACAGUGUGGUCAUGUUGUGAUGAAGCAGGAUGGAGGAAGGGUGCGUUAUACCGUCAAUUGC